CAGCCGCCGCGGUAAUACCGGCGGCCCGAGUGGCGGUCACUAUUAUUGGGCUUAAAGCGUCCGUAGCCGGGUUGGGAAGUCCUCCGGGAAAUCUGGCCGCUUAACGGUCAGAAUGCCGGAGGAUACUCCCAGCCUAGGGAGCGGGAGAGGCCGAGGGGAUUCCCGGGGUAGGGGUGAAAUCCUAUAAUCCCGGGAUGACCACCUGUGGCGAAGGCGCUCGGCUGGAACGCGUCCGACGGUGAGGGACGAAGGCCAGGGGAGCAAACCGGAUUAGAUACCCGGGUAGUCCUGGCUGUAAACGAUGCGGACUUUGUGUCGGACAAGCUAUGAGCUUGUCCGGUGCCGGAGGGAAACCGUUAAGUCCGCCGCCUGGGGAGUACGGCCGCAAGGCUGAAACUUAAAGGAAUUGGCGGG
rnacentral:rRNA from 1 species